GCCAGGUGCAGUGGCAUGUGCCUGUAGUCCCAGCUACUCGGAAGGCUGAGGUGGGAGGAUCACUUGAGCCCAGGAGUUCUGGGCCGUAGUGCACUAUGCCGAUCCGGUGUCCACACUAAGUUCUGCAUCAAUAUGGUGACCUGGGAGUGGGGGACCACCAGGUUGCCUAAUGAGGGGUGAACCAGCCCAGAUCGGAAACGGAGCAGGUCAAAACUCCCGUGCUGAUCAGUGGUGGGAUCGAGCCUGUGAAUAGCCACCGUACUCCAGCCUGGGCAACAUAGCGAGACUCCAUCUUU
rnacentral:SRP_RNA from 1 species